UACGUAGGGUGCGAGCGUUAAUCGGAAUUACUGGGCGUAAAGUGUGCGCAGGCGGCGCCGCAAGUCGAGUGUGAAAGCCCCGGGCUUAACUUGGGAAUUGCGCUCGAAACUAUGGUGCUGGAGUGUGGCAGAGGAAGGUGGAAUUCCACGUGUAGCGGUGAAAUGCGUAGAGAUGUGGAGGAACACCGAUGGCGAAGGCAGCUCGCUGGGACGGUACUGACGCUGAGGCGCGAAAGCGUGGGGAGCAAACAGG
rnacentral:rRNA from 1 species